ACACACACACACACACACACACACACAGCUUCACUAUAGCAGUCAGCCUGCACUGCACAUCACGGUGAAACACGGUACAUGUAGGAGCUGAAGUAAUCUGAUGAAAAACACACGCAAUGGCCGACGGAAGU